CCUCCCGAAGAAAACCCCUCUCUCUUUCCCACUCCGAUACCUCUCUUGGAGGAAGCAGCGAUGUCGCAGCAAGGUCAAAUUCCGAUAAACCCCAUGGUCCCUCCGCAGAACCCGAUGGCCACCAUGCAGGUCCCUAUGCCCAUGCACAUGCAGAUGCAGAUGCAGAUGCAGAUGCCCAUGCCCAUGCACAUGCCUUUACCCAUGCAGAUGCAGAUGCAGAUGCCCCUCCCCAUGCCGCUCCAGAUUCCCUUCUCCGUCCAGGACACCGCCCCCUCCUCCGGGAAGCGCCGCCGCGACGACGAGAAUUCCGGCACCGCCUCCGCGCCGGAGCAGUCGGCGGCGAAGCGUGCCAAGGGACAGGACGUGAUAUUCAGGAUCGUCGUGCCCUCGCGCCAGAUCGGCAAGGUCAUUGGGAAGGAAGGUCAUCGCAUACAGAAGAUUCGAGAAGACACCAAAGCCACCAUCAAAAUCGCUGACGCUAUUGCCAGACAUGAAGAGCGUGUUAUCAUUAUUAGUUCUAAGGACAAUGAUGAAAAGGUUACUGAUGCAGAGAAAGCUCUUGAGCAAAUAGCCCAUUUAAUUUUGAAGGAAGAUGAUAGCAGUCUUGAUGCGUCAAAAGUUACUGCAGGACAUGUGGCUGCCAAUACGAUAAGACUUUUGAUUGCAGGGUCCCAGGCAGGUGGAUUAAUUGGGAUGUCUGGUCAAAACAUUGAGAAGUUGAGGGACUCUUCUGGUGCCUCUAUUACUGUUCUUGCACCAAAUCAGUUGCCUUUAUGUGCUUCUGCCCAUGAAUCUGACAGAGUAGUGCAGUUAUCAGGAGAUGUUCCUGCGGUAAUGAAGGCUUUGGAGGAGAUAGGUUGUCAGCUAAGGGAAAACCCACCAAGACAAGUCAUUUCAAUUAGCCCAACAUACAAUUAUGCUGCAAUUCGACCAUCCCAACCAUAUCUUGACCCAACUUCAGGACAACCAAUCUUGCAGUUGAUUAUGUUACAUUCGAGAUGCUGAUUUCGGAAACAAUGGUUGGUGGGUUGAUUGGCCGGUGUGGCUCAAACAUAUCGAGAAUCAGAAAUGAGUCUGGAGCAAUGAUUAAGGUUUAUGGUGGUAAGGGUGAACAGAAGCACAGACAAAUUCAAUUUGGUGGUAGUGCUCAACAGGUAGCUUUGGCAAAACAGAGAGUUGAUGAAUAUAUAUACUCUCAGUUGAUACAACAGACUGGCACCCAACAGUCAGUGUAAGCAUUAGUUUUUUUAUGUUUGGAUAUCCAUCGUUUUAUUUUCCUUCGAUAGAAUUUUGGUCACACGUGAACUAGUACCUUAGUACUAAAUGAAAAUUGGGAGACUAGUUCUUUGUAAAAAAUGGGAACACCAAUCUUUUAAUGAUUGAAAUUUACAUGUUUGGAAAAAUAUAGGGAGUAAUAUUUUAACAGUAAGAACCAAAGUUUAAAAGAUUCUUGGUCUAUUCAGCUUCCAGAGAUGACACCAAGAAAGCCUAAAUCUCUAGUCUCUGUCUACUAUGAAUCAAGCUAUGUUGCUUCACCUUGGGGUGCUUAUUUGUGUUAGUAAGAUUUGUUACAUGGAUAGCGUUUGUUUGCCGUGUUAAUUGUAGUGGAUAUUCAGUUGCUGAUGUUGAAACUUUUCUCAGCUUGUACCCUAUCAUUUGUUCUAAUAUAGUUGAAGGUAUAUAUUUAUUUUUUCUACAUAAUUAUAUGAAUGCUUGUGUACAAUGUAACACGCUUA